UACGGGGGGGGGCAAGCGUUUGUUCGGAAUUACUGGGCGUAAAGGGCUCGUAGGUGGCCAACUAAGUCAGACGUGAAAUCCCUCGGCUUAACCGGGGAACUGCGUCUGAUACUGGAUGGCUUGAGUUUGGGAGAGGGAUGCGGAAUUCCAGGUGUAGCGGUGAAAUGCGUAGAUAUCUGGAGGAAUACCGGUGGCGAAGGCGGCAUCCUGGACCGACAUUGACGCUGAACGGCGAAAGCUAGGGGAGCGAAACGGG
rnacentral:rRNA from 1 species